GACGAACGCUGGCGGCGUGCUUAACACAUGCAAGUCGAGCGGAAAGGCCCUGCUUUUGUGGGGUGCUCGAGUGGCGAACGGGUGAGUAACACGUGAGUAACCUGCCCUUGACUUUGGGAUAACUUCAGGAAACUGGGGCUAAUACCGGAUAGGAGCUCCUGCUGCAUGGUGGGGGUUGGAAAGUUUCGGCGGUUGGGGAUGGACUCGCGGCUUAUCAGCUUGUUGGUGGGGUAGUGGCUUACCAAGGCUUUGACGGGUAGCCGGCCUGAGAGGGUGACCGGCCACAUUGGGACUGAGAUACGGCCCAGACGCCUACGGGAGGCAGCAGUGGGGAAUAUUGCACAAUGGGCGGAAGCCUGAUGCAGCAACGCCGCGUGCGGGAUGACGGCCUUCGGGUUGUAAACCGCUUUCGCCUGUGACGAAGCGUGAGUGACGGUAAUGGGUAAAGAAGCACCGGCUAACUACGUG
rnacentral:rRNA from 1 species